GAUUACCUACUGUCAUUUCCACCUCGACCCCCUGACAGCCGCCAGAGAGUGUAGGUUUGAAACCUUCAUGCUGAUGAGGCAGAGGGCCCUCUUUCCCAGCC